CCUACGGGAGGCUGCAGUAGGGAAUAUUGCUCAAUGGGGGAAACCCUGAAGCAGCAACGCCGCGUGGAGGAUGAAGGUUUUCGGAUUGUAAACUCCUUUUGUUAGAGAAGAUAAUGACGGUAUCUAACGAAUAAGCACCGGCUAACUCCGUGCCAGCAGCCGCGGUAAUACGGAGGGUGCAAGCGUUACUCGGAAUCACUGGGCGUAAAGAGGGCGUAGGCGGGAUAGCAAGUCAGAUGUGAAAGCCUAUGGCUUAACCAUAGAACUGCAUUUGAAACUGUUAUUCUAGAGUAUGGGAGAGGUAGGUGGAAUGCUUGGUGUAGGGGUAAAAUCCGUAGAGAUCAAGAGGAAUACUCAUUGCGAAGGCGACCUGCUAGAACAUAACUGACGCUGAUGCGCGAAAGCGUGGGGAGCAAACAGGAUUAGAUACCCGUGUAGUC
rnacentral:rRNA from 1 species